rnacentral:tRNA from 1 species
GCAGGAAUGGUCUAGUUGGUCAUGACGCACCCUUCACACGGGUGAGGUCGGGCGUUCGAAUCGCCCUUCUUGUA